UCCGUAGGUGAACCUGCGGAAGGAUCAUUAAAGAGUAAGGGUGCUCAGCGCCCGACCUCCAACCCUUUGUUGUUAAAACUACCUUGUUGCUUUGGCGGGACCGCUCGGUCUCGAGCCGCUGGGGAUUCGUCCCAGGCGAGCGCCCGCCAGAGUUAAACCAAACUCUUGUUAUUUAACCGGUCGUCUGAGUUAAAAUUUUGAAUAAAUCAAAACUUUCAACAACGGAUCUCUUGGUUCUCGCAUCGAUGAAGAACGCAGCGAAAUGCGAUAAGUAAUGUGAAUUGCAGAAUUCAGUGAAUCAUCGAAUCUUUGAACGCACAUUGCGCCCCUUGGUAUUCCGAGGGGCAUGCCUGUUCGAGCGUCAUUACACCACUCAAGCUAUGCUUGGUAUUGGGCGUCGUCCUUAGUUGGGCGCGCCUUAAAGACCUCGGCGAGGCCACUCCGGCUUUAGGCGUAGUAGAAUUUAUUCAAACGUCUGUCAAAGGAGAGGAACUCUGCCGACUGAAACCUUUAUUUUUCUAGGUUGACCUCGGAUCAGGUAGGGAUACCCGCUGAACUUAAGCAUAUCAAUAAGCGGAGGA
rnacentral:rRNA from 1 species